UAUUGGACAAUGGGCGCAAGCCUGAUCCAGCCAUACCGCGUGGGUGAAGAAGGCUUCGGGUUGUAAAGCCCUUUUGUUGGGAAAGAAAUCCAGCCGGCUAAUACCUGGUUGGGAUGACGGUACCCAAAGAAUAAGCACCGGCUAACUUCGUGCCAGCAGCCGCGGUAAUACGAAGGGUGCAAGCGGUACUCGGAAUUACUGGGCGUAAAGCGUGCGUAGGUGGUCGUUUAAGUCCGUUGUGAAAGCCCUGGGCUCAACCUGGGAACUGCAGUGGAUACUGGGCGACUAGAGUGUGGUAGAGGGUAGCGGAAUUCCUGGUGUAGCAGUGAAAUGCGUAGAGAUCAGGAGGAACAUCCAUGGCGAAGGCAGCUACCUGGACCAACACUGACACUGAGGCACGAAAGCGUGGGGAGCAAACAGGAUUAGAUACCCUGGUAGUCCACGCCCUAAACGAUGCGAACUGGAUGUUGGGUGCAAUUUGGCACGCAGUAUCGAAGCUAACGCGUUAAGUUCGCCGCCUGGGGACUACGGUCGC
rnacentral:rRNA from 1 species